rnacentral:rRNA from 1 species
AUUGAACGCUGGCGGCAGGCCUAACACAUGCAAGUCGAACGGUAACAGGAAGAAGCUUGCUUCUUUGCUGACGAGUGGCGGACGGGUGAGUAAUGUCUGGGAAACUGCCUGGUGGAGGGGGAUAACUACUGGAAACGGUAGCUAAUGCCGCAUAACGUCGCAAGACCAAAGAGGGGGACCUUCGGGCCUCUUGCCAUCGGAUGUGCCCAGAUGGGAUUAGCUAGUAGGUGGGGUAACGGCUCACCUAGGCGACGAUCCCUAGCUGGUCUGAGAGGAUGACCAGCCACACUGGAACUGAGACACGGUCCAGACUCCUACGGGAGGCAGCAGUGGGGAAUAUUGCACAAUGGGCGCAAGCCUGAUGCAGCCAUGCCGCGUGUAUGAAGAAGGCCUUCGGGUUGUAAAGUACUUUCAGCGGGGAGGAAGGGAGUAAAGUUAAUACCUUUGCUCAUUGACGUUACCCGCAGAAGAAGCACCGGCUAACUCCGUG